rnacentral:rRNA from 1 species
GGCUCAGAAUCAACGCUGGCGGCGCGCUUAACACAUGCAAGUCGCACGAGAAAGGGAGCAAUCCUGAGUAAAGUGGCGCACGGGUGAGUAACACGUGGGUAUCUACCUUUUUGUGGGGAAUAACUUGGGGAAACCCGAGCUAAUACCGCAUAAGCUCGAGAGAGGAAAGCCGCAAGGCGCAGAAAGAGGAGCCCGCGGCUGAUUAGCUAGUUGGUGGGGUAAUGGCUCACCAAGGCUUAGAUCGGUAGCCGGCCUGAGAGGGCACACGGCCACACUGGCACUGAAACACGGGCCAGACUCCUACGGGAGGCAGCAGUGGGGAAUCUUGCACAAUGGAGGAAACUCUGAUGCAGCGACGCCGCGUGAACGAUGAAGCCCUUCGGGGUGUAAAGUUCUUUCGCCAGGAACGAUAAUGACGGUACCUGGAGAAGAAGCUGCGGCUAACUACGUGCCAGCAGCCGCGGUAAUACGUAGGCAGCAAGCGUUGUUCGGAAUUAUUGGGCGUAAAGAGUAUGUAGGUGGUGUCGUAAGUUUGGUGUGAAAUCUCCUGGCUUAACUGGGAGGGUGCGCCGAAGACUGCGAUGCUUGAGUAUGGGAGAGGGAAUCGGAAUUCCUGGUGUAGCGGUGAAAUGCGUAGAUAUCAGGAGGAACACCUGUGGUGUAGACGGGUUCCUGGACCAUUACUGACACUGAGAUACGAAAGCGUGGGUAGCAAACAGGAUUAGAUACCCCUGGUAGUCCACGCCCUAAACGAUGCACACUUGGUGUGAGCCA